rnacentral:lncRNA from 10 species
GAAACCCACGCUGAGGGAAGAAUCAUGGGAAAGAGGGUAGAGACGGGGUUCCACCGUGUUAGCCAGGAUGGUCUCGAUUUCCUGACCUCGUCAUCCUCCCGCCUUGGCCUCCCAAAGUGCUGGGAUUACAGGCUUGAGCCACCGCGCCCCGCUCUUUCGUGUUCCAAAGGCUUUUUAAAUAAACUUCCACUCCUGUCCUGGAUUCUGCUUUAUGGCCCUCAGUCGAAUUCUUUCUUCUGAGGAGGCAAGGACUGAAGUUGCUUCUGACCAGUACAGGUUGGGAAGGAGAAAGUCACUUGACUCACAGGCCAACUGCUAUGGACUGAAUUGUGUCUUCCCCUCAUUAAUAUGUUGAAACCCUAUCCUCCCUCCAAUGUGAUGGUAUUUGCAGAUGGGGCUUUUGGGAAGUAAUGAAGUUUAGAUGAGGCAUGAGGGCUGGAUGGAUAUGAUCAGAUGAGUGCCCAAAGAAGAGACACCAGAGAGCUAGCUUCUUCUUUCUCUUUCCACCUUUACACACUGAGAAAAGGCCAAGUGAGCACACACCAAGAAGGCAGCCAUCUGCAAACCCAAGGAGAGAGUCCUCACUAGACACCCUGCUGGUACCUUGAUCUUGGACUUCUAGCCUCCAGAACUGUGAGAAAUAAAUUCCUGUUGUUCAAGCUAGUAUUAAUACCUGGUGUUUUGUUAUGGCAGCCUAAGUGACUAAGACACUUCCCUGACUCUUAGAGCCGUGGAGCAGUGUGUGUCAUGUGCUGCACACCCAGGCUGGAACAGCCUGUCUCCAGGAGAAAACGAAUACAGCAGGGAUGACUUCCACCAGCUCCACUUUGCAGCUCUGAGGUGUAUUAAAAAUGAACCUAGAGCCCCACCAAAUGAAUCCGCUGGCACGUGGACCUCAGAUGGGGGAAACUGAGGACUGAAUUCUGACCACCCUCCUUUGUUCUAAAUUUCUUCCUGAAGGACCUGGAAGAAGUCAUGCCACGGGCCAGACCUUAACAUUCCUUUCGGCUUACCCCAGGAUUUCAGACAAAGCUUCACUUUCCUAACCAGUCACAAAUCAGAGAAUUUUUGAUUCCACCUAUGACCUGUGAGCUCCUGCUUCAAGAUAUUCCACCUUUUUUAGGCCAAACCAAUGUAUAACCUCCAAGUGUCGAUUUACACUUUCGACUGUAACUUCUGCUUUCCUGAGAUUUACCCCUGCCUUUAAAAACCCUUGCUUGUAAUCCCUCAGGGAGGCCGUGUAUUUAUUAAUCAUGAGCUGCCCAAUUCUCCUUGCUUGGUGCCCUGCAAAUAAACACCCUCUUUUCUCCCACUGCA